UGCUCCUUCCAGGACCUGGACCUUUGCCCUCUGGAUGGCGGCAUCCAGCUACGAAUCUCCCACCAGCACUACAGCAAGGGCUUCAAGCAGGCCGUUUCAGUUGUUGUGGCCAUGGACAAGCUGAGGAAGAUGCUGGUUCCCUGCCCACAGAACUUCCAGGACAAUGACCUGAGCACCUUCUUUCCCUUCAUCUUUGAAGAAGAACCUAUCUUCGACACAUGGGAUAACGAGGCUUAUGUGCACGAUGCACCUGUACGAUCACUGAACUGCACACUCCGGGACGCACAGCAAAAAAGCUUGGUGAUGUCUGGUCCAUAUGAACUGAAAGCUCUCCACCUCCAGGGACAGGAUAUGGAGCAACAAGUGGUGUUCUCCAUGUCCUUUGUACAAGGAGAAGAAAGUAAUGACAAAAUACCUGUGGCCUUGGGCCUCAAGGAAAAGAAUCUGUACCUGUCCUGCGUGUUGAAAGAUGAUAAGCCCACUCUACAGCUGGAGGUAAGUGAAUGCUAUGGAAUGAAGCCCUUCUCAGCCUCCUGCUACCACUUAUUCCCAGACAACCACCUUCUCCCCGCCCCCAUCCCCAGGAAAAGCUGGGAACAGGUCUAUUUGACAAUUUUGCAUUAAUGUAAAUAAAUUUAACAUAAUUUUUAA
rnacentral:sRNA from 1 species